GCGAUUACUGCCUAUCGGGACAUAGAACGUGCUAGACUCACAGUCUCUUUGGCAGCUCCCCUUUCGAAAAUACGCUGUGUGGAGGUCAUUUCCUAAAGGAAGAUGUUGUUAUAUUCACGAAUUGAGCUGCCUCUGACGUGGUUCAAAGGACAGAGCAGAAUCCGGACACAUGAGGUCCCAAG
rnacentral:lncRNA from 1 species